rnacentral:tRNA from 1 species
GCCGCGUUAGCCCAAUUAGCAGAGGCGCUCCGCUUAGAACGGAGAUGUUGAGAGUGCGAGUCUUUCACGCGGCA